ACGAGUGCCUCAAGCGUUAUCCGGAAUCACUGGGCGUAAAGAGUAUGUAGGUGGUCUUAUUAGUCCUUCGUUAAAGCUCCUGGCUUAACCGGGAAGGUGCGAAGGAAACGGUAAGACUAGUGGGCGCGAGAGGUUGAGGGAACUCAUGGUGUAGGGGUGAAAUCCGUUGAUAUCAUGGGGAACACCAAAUGCGAAGGCACUCAACUGGCGCGUUCCAGACACUGAGAUACGAAAGCGUGGGUAGCGAAUGGGA
rnacentral:rRNA from 1 species